UUUCUUCCCUGCGUUGACUAAGUUAACAGUGGCUCUCGGUCCUAACGGUGGCUCUAUUAGUGACGCUGAUUAUCACCAUGAGACACUUGAUAAUCUGCAAAUUGCUAUGAUGAGGGGCAUUUAAUCUCUCUGUGGACUCAAACCAAAUUGUAAACAACAUUGGUCCAGAUAACACCAAUAGGUGAGAUGCUUCUGCAACAAUCGAAGGCUGUUCAGAAGUGUCCGAACCAAUUCCUCCGCAAAUUGAUCAACUGGUCAACACGAAGAAACUAUAAAGGAUCCUGAUCACUCCAACGAUGGAGACAAUGAAGCUGGCCAAAAUUUCCCAAUUCCAUUUCCAGUUCCUAACUUUUCACCCUUCACCGAAAAAGUAGUUGUCUUGCAACUUUUUAAUUAUUCAGUUCUGGUUUUCGUUUGUUCGAGUAUAAUUGGUACACAUGGUAACUUUAGUAAUUAUGUUGUUAUGAA